rfam:Nicotiana sylvestris Nsyl_contig57878, whole genome shotgun sequence.
UUACUUGCAGCUGCAGCAUCUUCAAGAUUCACAUAGAAAUCAUGUGGAGCAGAUAAUAUAUUUGUAAAAAUCUGCCCCCCUAAGUUUUUUGAACAUGAGAAUCUUGAUGAUGCUGCAUCGGCAAAUGA